AUUGAACGCUGGCGGCAUGCUUUACACAUGCAAGUCGAACGGUAACAGGCCGCAAGGUGCUGACGAGUGGCGAACGGGUGCGUAAUGCAUCGGAACGUGCCCAGUCGUGGGGGAUAACUACUCGAAAGAGUAGCUAAUACCGCAUACGAUCUAUGGAUGAAAGCGGGGGACCGUAAGGCCUCGCGCGAUUGGAGCGGCCGAUGUCAGAUUAGGUAGUUGGUGGGGUAAAGGCUCUCCAAGCCAACGGUCUGUAGCUGGUCUGAGAGGACGACCAGCCACACUGGGACUGAGACACGGCCCAGACUCCUACGGGAGGCAGCAGUGGGGAAUUUUGGACAAUGGGCGCAAGCCUGAUCCAGCAAUGCCGCGUGCAGGAAGAAGGCCUUCGGGUUGUAAACUGCUUUUGUACGGAACGAAACGGCUCUGGUUAAUACCCGGGGCUAAUGACGGUACCGUAAGAAUAAGCACCGGCUAACUACGUG
rnacentral:rRNA from 1 species